rnacentral:lncRNA from 1 species
CUGACAUCCCCUCAGCCUGGAGGGCGCCCUCCUGGUCCCCUCGUAUCUGACAUCCCCUCAGCCUGGAGGGCGCCCUCCUGGUCCCCUCCUGUCUGACAUCCCCUCAGCCUGGAGGGCGCCCUCCUGGUCCCCUCCUGUCUGACAUCCCCUCAGCCUGGAGGGCGCCCUCCUGGUCCCCUCCUGUCUGACAUCCCCUCAGCCUGGAGGGCGCCCUCCUGGUCCCCUCCUGUCUGACAUCCCCUCAGCCUGGAGGGUGCCCUCCUGGUCCCCUCCUGUUUGACAUCCCCAGAGUUACUCCUUGGGUCCUUUGAGAGAUGAGACACCAGCUGCACCCAGCAAGCCCUGUCCCCACCCCCAGCUAAUCAAGGCAUUACCCCGGAGGCCGGGCGCAGUGGCUCACGCCUGUAAUCCCAACACUUUGGGAGGCCAAGAUGUGAAAAAUUCACAAAUGGGACUUCUUGAAAGAAUCAAAACUUGAGAAGUAACUGAGAAGUAGAAGCAGCUCUUAACAAGCAUCAGGGGCUCAGAAGAGGUAGCUCUUCCCAGGGCAUCCAGCGGGCGAGCUGUUCCAUGUGCCUCUGAACCCAGCUUCCCACUUAGCAGCAGGUCUUGAGUGCACCUGGCAUACACCUGUGCAAUUCUCGUCAACACAGAACACCUGCCUGCCCACCCCCGGUGCUGAAGACCGACCAGUCAAGGAGGUGUUGGUGGGAGUGUUGUGUUCACCAUGUGGAGAUCAGGCGGCGAUUACCGCAUCUUCUUUGCUGACUUUGGUAACCGGGUGUCCAGGGAGGAGCGAUCGGGAGUGGCCAAGCAGUUGCCUGGACUCAGCUUCUGACUCUGCAGCUGGGAGUCAGAUGCAGGCCCAAGGGUCCAGGGGAGUUGUUCAGCGCCUGGAAUCGCCAUGCAUUGCGCGGUGGACCGCACGACGCUCCUGCUCUGUUCUCCCAGGCACAGACAGGCACUUGGAAGGCAGCUUUGCUCCUCUGGCCACCCGGAAACCUCCCAGCAGUUCAGAUGGGACAAACUGGGGGCCUGUCAGAACAGCCACUUGUGCCGGGAAGGCCAGGCCCCGGCCUGCUCCGAUGAACGUCAGGACGGUGGCUGCAGCAGGGAACCAGGGCUGGCCUUGGAUCUGUCCAGUAGGGUCACUGACUGGGCAGGGCUUGCUGCAUAGAGGAUGGCUGCAUUUUGUGCUCAGAGUUGGUUGAAAUGGCUACGAAGUGUGGAGAAUAACCACUGAAUCCCAAAAAGUCACUGCGCUUGAUCUGAUCCAAGUAACAGUGACUGCAGUUAGGGUCGAGAGCUUCUCCGAAGCAGCGGUCAUGCAGGCUUUUGUGUGGCUGACGCUUCCCUUUUUCACAACAGUAAAAAGCUAUCAAUGGGAAAUUGUGGACUUUUCCCACCAGGGACUCAAUGGGGACUCAAUGUGCAAUAUUCAGUCAACAUAAAACUCUUUAAGAACUCC